AAGCCUCGUCAAGAAAACCAUACUCUAACCCCACGGUCGCUCCCGCACAAAACCAAAACCAACGCCCCCUCACAACAAAAACAAUCCCUACGAAAUCUUUCCUCCUCAUCCAAUCCUCCGUCCCAGCGAUUGUCCCGCAGCUACAGCUACCAUGUCGUCCACCACUGCCCCUCCUCGCCUCUGUCGCACGCACCCCAUCCCGGUCAGGGGCUGCGAGAUCCAAACUGUGGCACAGUCCGGAGGACGACGAGGUCUGGGCGCAGCGGGAUGCGGCGGAUCUAAAGGGGUGGCGGGGUCUGAACGGGGCUAUGCGGCUCCUGGCGGCGGUCCCUAGCGCAUCUUUGCCAUUGGAUCACUACGCCCUGUUUGCCGCCCGCAGGUCACCGGCAACCAUGAGUUCUCCAUCGUCAGUCAUUGACUCCGCUGCUUCGUCUUCCACCAUCCUCCGCCCGCCGCACUGCCCUGACGGCCCAUUCUCCGGCCAAUGCGCCGCGCCGACGUCCACCCGCUUCUCCGUCCAAAGGCCGGACAGCUGCGCCGCGACUCCCCAGUGCUCGGGUCUGACUCUGAGGAAGCUGCAUCACCCCGACCCCCCGACCUGCACGGACCAUCUACCCCUUCCGUCGAACAGGCAACUCCUCCGACACCCUCCACAUCCUCUUAUUCUUACCGGGUCUUUUGUAGCUAUGGCAAGAAAAGUUCUAAUUACCAAGAAUUUAAUGUUGUAUGGUGAUUGUAAUUUACAGAGAAUGCAUUAGUACGGCAUAUUAAAAAAAUAUUCUCUAUAUUUCAGGUGGCUAACUGCUUAAAGGUCCUAUCUAUCUUUGAAUUAUACAUACUGACCUUCAAGUUUCUAGCGAAGAUCUACUUUUCAUGGGGUUAAGUUCCAGUUUUCCAAUGAGAUGCAGAUUCUGGUGCCAAAUCCAUGUCAAUGGCGUAGCUAAUGCUGUACUGAAAGCUGAGGUAUCACUAAAGAUCUUCUUGGAGAACAUUUUUUCGGUUGAGUUCACAUGUGAAGUUUAUGCAUUGGUUCGUGAAUUUGUUUUCUGUUUCCGUGUGCUAAACUCAAAACAUCCCCAUUUUGAAUGCCGCACAACCAUGUGUGCUUGAAAGUUUUUUAUUUGGCCACCAUCACUGUUGGUUUCUUUAUUCUGCAUUGAGUAGUUUCUUCAGGCAAGACAUGGCUGUAUAAUAGACUUAAAAAAAAGGACAUGUGUGUUUCAAACAGGAUGCCCUCUCCUUCAUUCAUGUCUGCAUUUUCUCAUGGUUUUUUUGUCCAAAUUCAUAUGUUUCAGCUGUGCAUUUAUGUUUCACAAUGGAAGAAACAGGUGCUACAGAUUAGCUUGAUUCCUUUGGUUGUUCAGAGAAUACUGCACAGAUGUACAACCUCCUUUUAUACUUCUAUUCUGUAAUAGGCUACCAUAGAUGGGAAACACAUGCAAUGGGAUUUGGUGCUCUUAUGUGCAGUUGCAAAGAGACUGUCAAAUGUUGUGAGCUUCUAUUUCAGGAUGAAAAUAAAAUAAAAAGACCCUCUUCGAGGAAAGCAAGGAUGCAAAAAGAAAAGGAGGAACACCUUUAGUUUGCAGUUCUAUCUGGUGUAAUGUGAGAAGGUGAGUUAUCAUAUCAAAAUAUUCCUACAUAGUUAUAACAAAUAGUAUGAAGCAACAUCAGUAGAUCUGAAUAUCACAACAACCUUACUUUUAGAAACCUUCUCAAGAGUGCAGGGAGUUCCCAUGAUUAACUAUUUCACUUAAAAGAAAAAAAAAUGUGACGUUAAAAGAAAAAAAUGACCUUGUUUACAAGGAAACCAUACAGAGCACGGCUUAUUCAAGAAAAUCCAUAACGAACCCUCGCAACGAGCAAGCAACCUAACCCUGAGGAACAACCAUUUUUCUGCUAACCGAUAAAUUUCGUUACCAAUUAUAUUAUAUAAUGCAAUGCAGAUAUAAAUACAUAUUCUUUGUGUAUAGUAGUUUUGAUCUUUGAAGAAAAUAGGCACAAAAAGGCGACCGGCCAGGAAGCAAUCCAUGUAUUAAGUAGACAACGUGGAGU